UUAUUAGUUGCCUACUAGCAUAUAGAAAGAGCAAUGUACUCGAAAACAAUGUUUAAAAUCACAAAACAUUAUUGGUUAAAUGGAAAAGUUUCUGGAAUUUUCUAGAUCUACAGAAUAUUCGAUUUGUUCUCCGACAGACGGAAUUUAGAAGUUUCUUACAAGAUACGUAAAUGAAUGAUAUCAAGGUGCACGGCCAUAACCGGAAAGAUAUUCUGCGUGACAAUACCAAGUUUUUAAAUACAUCAAAUUUGCAAAGACGAUCUUUACGAUAUCAAUUUGGUAUAAAAUAAACUCAAUCUUAUUGCCGUAUGGUGCAAUUUUUUGAUAAUCACGUCUUCUCCGAGUCUACAAUUUACGAUUAGUAAAUUUAAAGUUAAAUAAGUUUUAGGGAAAGAUACGUAUUUAGAAUUUUUAAAAUAGCGAGAUUUAUGAGUUUCGUUAACGAUCGAAAUUCGAGACCAUUUUUAUGGUUAGAAAGUAAUGCAUAUUUUUAUACUAUUAAAAAUGCUUUUAAAUGGAUGACGAUAAAUAUCUUCGAACCAUAUUAAUUGUCUUAACAUAUUAAGCCAGCAAACGGCCAAGCGAUUAGUUAACGAGAAAAUACGCGAAAGUAUUUCACGUAAUUACUGUUCAUUUUUUUUUUUUACAGAAAUGGCCCGCGGAGAUUUAUUUUCGGAAUUCAUACAGAAUUUCCAGAUCCAGGAUAUUUCCAACGAGCAAACAAGGAUGUACCAAGAUCCGGCGUCGUCGGCCCAGUCGUCCGACAUGACCGACGUGGAGGUGGCCAUCACGACGUCCAAGACCCCGGCCCUGUCCAGACAAUCGAGCAUGGGAUCCCUGAGCGACAUGCCCUCCAGACCCGGCACCAGCACUCCCUCCGAAGACUACACAGACAGCGAGUCCGAAUCGUCCAGCGUCGGCGACCUCAACUAGCCGCGCCCCACUACACGCCUCCCGCCCGCCCCACCACCUUCAUUUUAUACAUAUUCAUUUUCAUUUUGCUUCCUGUGUAAUUACGUCACUACAAACAACGCAUUCGAGUUUUAAUUUAAAUUUUAUUUUAAAGUAGACUCUCGAUCGGUCCGCUACGGAAUCCGAGCGCGGAACGACCACCCACGGCUUCGUACGGCACGUUAUCGGGAAAAACGCACAACCGUUGGUUUCUGCGGUAGCCUCUUAACGCGUAAUCCAAACAAAUCAAAAUUAAUCGACGGGCCUUUCCCUUACGUUCGACACCGAUUAUGCAAAUUUCCUUCGGCCCGAUCAGUAAAUCCACCGCAUUUUGCCCGUGCCGCCCGCCGAGCGAUUUCGGAAGCGUCCCGACGCGGAACCCACCGGAACCGCGCGUCUCACUACGCAAUACUUCGACCACUUCCAGGACCAAGUUUCUAGAAAUUCUCUCGUCUUUUCGGCGGCGCGAGCCGAUAAAUUAUUAUUGUUUGGUGAUUUUGGGGGAGGCGCGGGUGACCCGCGCGUUAAUUUUUUCGGGCCUCCUUCCGCCGUCGCUAAUUGUGGGUCGCGCUGGGAGUCGACUCCGGACGCGGCCGGAAAGUACGUAGUGCCACUCGCCAAUGUAUAUAAUUGUUACCGAUUUUUUUUAAUUGUAUAAUCAUUUUCAAAUGUAGUACGUAAUUUCCAUUGUAUUUGAAUAUUAAUACAAAUAUAUUAAAAGAGAGUAAUAUUUGACAAGAUA